UUCACAUAUUUUCAUAUAUAAAAACACUCAUACAGAAAAGGUUUGUGGAUUUAGAGAGAAAAGAAAGCAUUGACAUGUCGAAGGACGAAUAAAGUCGUCUACAAUGAAAACCAUUCCACAAAGCCUCAACCUUUGGAAAAAGGAAAUUGUUGUUUUGCAUCUAUACUCUAAAUAAAAAACAGAAUUAGAAUCGAACAGCUCCUUAAAACAGUCUCAGACAAACAGCGAUUGACGCAUUCAAAUAUGAAUUAUAACUAUCAAGCGACUAACGAAAUAGUCGAAACUAUGGCAAGUUUCGUGACACGCAAGUCCUAUGGCUUAUAAGCCUUCCUACAGUGGACAAACCCAGCACUAACAGUAUUGGAAAAUGUUUCAUGACUACAGCAGUGUGAGAUGAAGCAGAAUACAAUUGAAAUUUAAAUAGAAAUGGAAUGUUGCCUGUUCAAGAGCAGCAAAAUGGGGCAGCGAGUUAAUCAUCGGGAUAUUGAUCACCACCGAAGCUUCGUCGCUACUUCGAUGAUCCCGACAAACUCAACAAUAUCUAAAAUUUCACUAAAAUAGAGAAAUUUGUUCACUGAUUUUUGAUAAAUAAUUUUUUCUCUCCCUUUUCACCCUUUCGGACCUAGCUUUCUUCACUCCUCUUUAUCAGACCCAAAAUUUUUUAACCCAAAUUUUUCUUUUUCUUCCCCCCCUUUUUAACUCAAUCAAGAUCUGCUAAUAUAGAAGCAAGCUCGGGUUUCUCUUUCGUGACUUGAAUGAUGUGGGAAAAUUGAAGUUCGGGCUAAUUUAGGGAUUCCCCAUCGAGAUAUUUUCAAAAUUCAAACUGAAAAAUCCCCCUACAGCUUGGGUUUUCCUCUCCAAAUUGUACCGAUUCUUUUGGAUUUGUUAAGAGAAAUUGAGAAUAGGUGGACCAAGACCAUUUGGGCAAACUGAAUUCUCCUCUAAAUCAAUGAAAACCAUCCAAAUAUAUACAAAAUCUUACAAAUCAAUCCAAAAAUCAAGGCAUUUAAAUGUUGGGGAGACAACUCACCUAUUUCUAGAAGCUUCCUAAGCUUUUCUCGUACAGGUUCGCGUUGAAGCUGGUCAGGUCAGAGAUGGUGAUUUUGGGUUACAUCUUUACUGAUAUCGAUUGAGCACUGGGUCAAUUUUGGGGAAGCUGGGUUCGAUUGUUCGCGAUUUGGAAACCAGAAGCGUGUUUUUUUGUUUUUGCCGAUCGAUGUUGUAGGCUGUUCUGUUGUUGUUGAUUAAAGGAGAAAUAGGAAGCUGGGUCGGGUUGGAAGUUUGUUGGGUUUGGGCCUGUUGGAGUGGGUAAUUGGUGAAAGGAAUGGGCUGGUGUGGCUAGUUGUUAUGUGUAAGGGAAAAUGGGCUGCUAAAAUUGUUAUUAUCUUUGGGUUGAUUCGGUUAUUUUAAUGGAUUUGGCCAAUUUAAA